GAAGAGCUGGGGCCAGAGUUCUUUCUGGGGCGGGACCAUGGACUCCUACGCCUUCCCUCCGGGGUAGUGAGCUCAGGAAUAAUCUGCAGUCCAGAAUCAUAGCAACACUCAUGGACAGCUCAGUUCACUGGAGGUGAGGCAGAUCAAAGACAGCAAGUCGGAGAUGCAGAGAUCACAUGCACUCCAUCCAUACCUUCUUUCUUCUUUGGUUUAAAAAAAAUCAUCAAAUUGAAGAAGCACAAUCACGUCUUUAAGAAAGACAGCCCAUUUGUAUUCUAGGCUCCCUCUGUGUCUCCUCACGUGUGACUGAGCGCAAGUGAACGAAGAGGAGUGAGCGAGGAGGGAGGAGAGCAGAAAGAGGGAGGGGGUGUAUGAGAGAGAGGAAGGAUGAAUCUAAUGCGUUGCAGCAGAGAACUGUGACAGACCAGGCAUUUAUUUGAGCAGAGACUGCUGCUGUAGCAGGAAGGACUCAGCAGCAGCAGCAGCAGCAGCAGCACUCAGCACUGCUCUAUCACUCAGUGCCUCCACCACUGCUGAAGACAAGGUGGACACGAAGAGGCAGAGGCACAGUGGAUACACACCGGGAGCACAACACCUCUCCAAUGCCACCAGAAAUACUGUUUCUGGAAUACAGUGUUGUUGGCUUUUCCAGUUUUGCCUUGCAGCAUAUCAGUUCCCUUUUCCUCUUGAUACUCUUCUUCGUCCAUCUAUUACCCUUUCCUCUGUCUUGAUUUGAACGGGUAUUCAUGCCAAGGAAAAGCGUGGCUUGAAUGAGAAUCAGCACCGGUCUCUCUACAGGUCAGACAUUAGUACCAGCAGAAGACUCAAGAGGCAUUCGCACAUUAUGCGAAUGUCCUGAGUACUCCACUGUGAUCCCCUGGGGUUUUAUCACAGCUCUGUGUCUUAUCCAGUGGAAAGAAGUCACAGGAGUUAUUGGUGUCAAGAUGAACAAAUGACAAGUUGUGGGUCUCAGCUUUUCGUUUUUCUUUCACUGUAUUGAUUCAGUUUUCCAGUCAAUGUGGGGGAAAAACUAAGACAGGAAAAACUGAAGAGCAGAAGUAAUUUUAUUUUUACAAGAAGGGCACAACUGCAGAAUUCUCUUUUGCUUCAGUUCCACUGUUGGUGAAUCUUCCUAAGGGAUGCACAGGACUGAAACACACUGUUUGUCCUAUGAUCUCUGCAAGGAGAGGAGGAACCAUUUUCACGCCUGGAACAGACUGACAUGAGCAGUAGACCAGUGGGUGAUGUUUGGGGAAUGCAGCAGCAAUAUCCAGUCAGACGAAAUGUCAGCAACAGGCAGCAACACAAUACUCCCACAUAUCGGCGCUGAUCCCAGUGGGCAAUGUAAUAGGGCUGCGACAUUUAAAAACAAUGCCAGAGAAUAUUGAGCAACCAAGAUGUACUGGUUAGAUCCAACGUGUAACUGUGGUCACACUUGUUCCUUUGCCAUGCAAAAUGCUGCGAUAUGAUGACAGUUUAAUUAUUUCUGUUAUGCAUGAGUUCUCAAUUAAAGAAAGACAAAUUUCUAGCUGGUUUGUGUGUUUACCAUAGGGGCGAAGAGUUUUUGUUCUCCUGUCUGCCUUUAAUAAGACACACAAAAGCACCAUCAAGACUGAAGAAUAUUCAUAUGACAGUGAUGAAUGGCUUGUUUAAAAGCAUGAAUAGCUUUUGACUCCACAGAAUACUGGCAUGCCCAUUUAAGGGGCUUGAUCAUGUGGCAUGUAAUUGCUUUGGUGAGAGACAGACAUAAUUGCAGCUAAUAAUUUUCAGAAUAUUGAUGAAAACAAGUGUUUCCUUAACAGAGGGAACUGUCUUUAAACCACUGUGAUGAUGUCCAUAUGUUUUUGGCUGGCUGGAAAA